CAAUAGCGUAUAUUAAAGUUGUUGUAGCUAAAAAGCUCGUAGUUGGAUUUAUGACAGUGCCAAAACUUCAUUUUUGGUAGUUUAUGCUCUGUCAUCCUUGAGUAAAUCAUGUGUGGCAUUAGGUUGUCGUGCAUAGGAUACUCAUCAUUUACUGUGAAAAAAUCAGUGCGUUCUAAGCAAGCUUAUGCUGGUGGAUGGAUUAGCAUGGAAUAAUGGAAUAUGACCUUGUUGCUAUUUUGUUGGUUUGUGUAUCAAGGUAAUGAUUAAUAGGGAUAGUUGGGGGUAUUUGUAUUCCACUGUCAGAGGUGAAAUUCUUGGAUUUUUGGAAGACAAGCCACUGCGAAAGCAUUUACCAAGGAUGUUUNCAUUAA
rnacentral:rRNA from 1 species